rnacentral:lncRNA from 1 species
UUUGUGUUUCGUUUCGUUUCAUUUCGUUGGUGAGGUGUUUGUGUGUUCAUGAGGAUCCACAUGAAAGAGAUUGUUUAAUGCAAAGGUGGCAGCACAUCCAGCUUAAUUUGCAGCAGCAUUGGCCUUUUCUUUCUUCUCUUGGCGCUUUCGGCUUUGCUCUUUGUUUAGCGGGUUUAAUCAGGCUUUGGUGUGCCCAUGGAUGGAAAUUUCUUGGCUCCACUAAAUAUAUGUUGAUGUUUUUGACCUUAAUGGUCCAGUUUAUUUUUAAUGAAAUACACCGGAAAGCCCACCACAAAGUUUUGAAUACUAGUAUAACAAAUCAGAAUUUCAUCUAAAAUGACUAGCCGAAAGGUAUAUGUAUAAGUAUCUAAAAUCUAUCCAAUAAAUAACUAAUAUGAGAUUAAGCACAUGUCCGCAUAAGUACUCAGCCACAACCAAGCCCUUGCUAAACGAAGAGGGAUGUUGACCGGCGAAGCUGUGAUUGGUUGAUGGAUUCUAAUACAAUUUGAAUGGCAUCAUUCAUGUACAAGAUGAGCUCAUUGAAAUUUAUUAACUCGGGUGCAGAUCCAUUUCCUUGGUGAUAGGAUCUGGCAACUUUCUUUGCCAUUGAUAGUGCUGGUUGGUACGCAAUCUUUUCUUGGAUUCGUUCUACCGAUGUCUUUGUUUUGCUUUAACCAUUGGUGUAAGUCACUUGAUAUCAUACACACGAGAACAAUGGGUUGCUAACCUUCACAUGAGAGAAGUUUUCCCAAGUAUAGUGGAUAAAGUUUCUCGAGCUCUGUCGGUAGUGAAUUAUUGAGGAAGAAUCAAGGCAAAAAAUAAUUAAUUCAAAGUUAAAGAAGAAAACGAUUUGAUGACGUUAGGAUGCGAACUUUGCUGAAUAUUCGCCAAAUCACUAGUAAGGGUCUCUUUCCAAGUAAUCCAAAUUGUUGCAAUCCGACAGUGCCAUGUCACAUGUAGAUUGCGUGCCAAGUUAAUCAGCCAUAGAGUUCCAAAUCAAUGCAUAACGAAGGUGCUCUUUAUGAAUUUAGUGAAGAGAAGGGAAGGUCACAUCCUAGCAGAUGAAAACUUGAGAUCAAGUACAGUUUGACAAUGUUUAAUCCUCCAGGCAUGGACUCAUAUGUUGUUGCUAAAGCUUCCAUCAAUCCCAGUCUGAAUUAUGCUAACUAAUCCCGGAUAAAACAAAGCCUAAUUCCCUUAACAUCGUAUACUGCUGAUCUACUAAUGUGGUACCAAACAAUUUUAGCUAUGACCGAACUUAUCUUCAUCUAAAAUUCGCCACCUGCAGGACGAUACUUUUUCCCUGUGGGUACCAGCAAGCACUUGGAAUAUCCUUGUGUCAUUGAGGAUGGAUGGAAUUAGGUAAAAUAUUCUAGUGGGAAAGGCGCACUAUGGAUCCUCUGAUGACAUUUUUUUUGGGUUGGGGCCACUCGGUGAGGCGAUGUUGUUCUCAGUGUCACUGUGGAAGAGUGACAAGCGGACGGCAAAACGGCAAAGCAUGCUUUGCCCUGUCUGAACCUCAAUGCAUGCUCGCAAAUACUCGUGGCCAUGACAAUGACCCCAAGUUUGUUCCUCCGAACCAUGUCUUGGAAUCUUAAGGAUGCAACCUUUGCAAAUUCUCACAGUAUUCGCCCCGUCCUCUUGCAUGCUGCAUGCAGCUUCAAUUCCUCGAAAAAAUUUAAGCAUUCAGACUAAGGUAUGCCAUCUUGGUAUUGGAUCCUGUACCAGUGCCACCUUGUUACUGCAUCGGAAUGUCCGAUAUGGAGGUCGGUUCAGUAUACCGAGUACCGGUAUGUCUCCCGUACCACAUAUACCGGUAUUGAAUCGGUAUGCUACGAUAUGCUUCAUACCAUUCGAUUCCAUACGAUAUGGCGUAUCUUGAUUUAGACAGUAUAAGUGGAUAAAUUCCGGCUUGAAUGAAGACUAAGACUAGAGAAACUCUAAUGUGGACUAGAGAAACUCUAAGCGUGCCCAAACCCAUCCAAAAGAAUUGCAAAUGAGAAGGUAAUUUGCAUAAUGAAUUGCUUUGAGUAAUCUCUCAUUGAGUAGAUUAAAAUGAAUCUAUUGGGAUCUACAACCCAGAAGUAGUGGAUAAUAGGAGAGGAGUAUCUUGAGAUGAAGGGAUUGCUAUGUGCAUGUCAAGUUUCCUUAGUUGCCGCAAAAUGUAAGGAAUUUUUAUAAUUCCUAGGAAUUGAUAUGAUACACAUAUGGCAUAAUUGAAUGCUAAAUCGAACAAGCCGGGAAAAAGUAGGCUUGAUGAACUUCUAGUGUGCAGUUUGCACUAAUAGAAGCCAAGAGCAUGGCUGAAAUUUAAAUUUCAAACUAAAAUUUUAAAAUUAUUGACUAGGUUCGGGGUGCCAAGUAGUUCAACUGAUGAAGCAACUAGGAUAGGAUGCUAGUUUAUAUCUACCUAGCUCCUCAAUCUAAUCAAUAAUUGUUUUUAGAUGCUUUUUUUCUUUGAUGUGAUUCAAAGGAGUCAAAAGAACAAAUCAUGAAAUAUAAGACAUUCUAAUCCAUAGAGGAAUAGGUCCACCACUUCGUGGUGGUGCAUUCCUAUUAGACACAUCAAAUUAAAGUUUGAGACAUGCGUUAACCAAACCCUAUCUAUCCCUAAAUUGACAAAUUCCGCAUCAACAGUCCUAGGGUCAAAAAGCUACAGCGCCGAGGCCGAAGGCCACUUUGGUGCACCAACUUUGGCAUCCCCUUGGGUCCCCCGAAGGAGACUAAGCCAAAGACGUACCAUCAUACCUCCCCCAGAUGGAUAGCACAUUCCACCGGAGGCUGCAGGGGAUAUCAUGCGAAUCUCCCAGAUCGAAUGCAGGCAAGAUGCCGGGAUAUCGUCCCAUCUCGAGGCCAGAUUCCUCGUUAGUCGUUAAUCGUUAUCCAGGAUCUGAGAUAGUGUUUGGAGAGCCAUGAUAUCGACCCCUCUGCGGGCGACACUUCCAUUGAAAUUUGGAACAUGUCAAGUCAAAUUGCAAUCCACACGGACCAAUCCUUUAGUGUCAUGGGGAGCAAACUCUGGAUAUCUGGGAUUAGGGAGGAUAUGUCGCGUAGGGUCACCACCUAGUCGGAAUAGCACUGAUGGGUGUCGGGCGUGGGCGCGGACGACAUGCAUGUACAAGUGAUGGAAUUCGAGUCAGUUUUAGCUGUGAUAGUGCUGAACCCUGUCCUUGCCAGGGACAUAAGGGUCUCAGUUUCGAGCACCAAGUCGCCUAUACUCCCAAAUGAUGGACCCAAGCUUAGCUUUCCAUCUCUAAUAAGCUGACUUGAUGAUUGCUUGGAAGACUCAAAGCAAUGCAGGCUCCCCCCCUGGGUCCAUCUCCCUAACAUUUUAAUUGGUGCUAUUCCGUGCUCGUCUAUUCGGACCAUGUGACCUGCACUGCGACGAUGGUUGCUUAUUGGCUGGGAUAUUCAAUUACUUUGCUAUCCAAAUGAUCAUGAAACCGUUCGCUUUAUAUCGUGUUUGAAAUAAGUUGAUGACUCGGUUUAUCCUAGUAUUGGCUGCGAUAUCAACACUUAAAAGACCAUGAUGAUUGGUUGGGUAAAGGCAUCGAGUAAUGCCAAGUGAUGCUAAGAUUUUCUUGCCCUAUGUCAUGAGGAGAUCGGUGUAAUGAUUUCUGGUGCAAUGCACAUGAGGUGGUUGAAUAUUAGAUUGUCACGCCAGUACUGUUGAGCUUGAGAAUUUUUUUUGUUGAUUUUCCACCACCCUACGAUUGCCAUUCUCACAAGAUAUUGUCUGAGGUGAUAUCUGCAUAUUACUUGUUGCCACCAAUUAUUCAAUAGGCUUUGCUCAGGGAUUUGAGUUUCCGAAGGAAAGGGGGGAGGGAAAAUUUGAUAUACGAACUUAGAUUUGCCAUCAAGCAGCUAAAGCUUCUUGUUUGGUCAUUUGAGUAGCAUAAUAAAAUACGCACCAAAAAAAUCACUUGAUAGAUUAAUUCUGAAACUUUAUUUUAAGUUCUGUUAUUUUCGUAAGCAUGCGAUUGUAAUAAACCAAGUGGGUAAGUCGUGAAUAGGGAUGCCAAUGGGUCGAGUUAGAAUAGGAUAUGCUUGGCCCCGAUCUAACCCGAUUUCAUGUAUGAGUUCUAAUAUUGGACUUGGAGCCAAUGUAAUGGAUGAUUAGGUUGGGUUGGAUAUAUGAAAAGUAUUUUAGACUCAACAGGUCGUUUCGAUUGGGUAAAAGAAAAUUUUGUUCUUGUCUCAUAAUAUGGAAAAAGAAGAAAUGACUUGAAAUACUAUCUUCUAGUCAAUUCUAGCUGGGUCAAGUCAGGUCAAGCUAGAUUGGGUAACUAAUAGGAAACUCUAAAAUUAUAGAACCAUAUAGUGUACAUAUAAGAUCGAUUGGGUUAGAUCAAAAUUUAUGGAAAUCAGACCCAACCUGAAAUGUGGAAUGGGCCUAAUAUUUGAAACCGACCUAGCCCCGUAGGUCUUCAAGAAUGGGUCGGGUUGGGUCAUGGGCCAAUCCAACCCAUUUGCGUCCUUAGUUGUGGAGCUGCUUUCUGUCAGGAUGCCGGUUGUAAGCCCCUUUUUUUUAAGCUGUCAUAAUAAUCGUUUUUGCCUUUUGUCAGAAUAAAAUUGAGUUCGCCACUUCGGGGCUCAGUAUGAAAUUUGUUAUAUACCAAUAUCCUGUUAGGAGGUUGGAAGGUUGACUCCUAGGGGCAAGGCAAACCAUAGAUCUUCUGAUGACUUCUGUUUGGCCUCUUCGUGUGACAGAGAGAUUCUCUGGCCACUUCGCAACUAAAUGACAAGGAAAUUGACCCAUUGGACGUUAAGGCAUGCAUGUUUUGCCCCGUGUGCAUGGAUGUCCUUCAUUGCCUUGCUAUGAGUCAUUAUCUGAGCACUAAUAUCAUCAUUAAUAUCUUUGGACAUUUCUGAGGUGCAAUUAAUUACAUGGAUGUUUAGAAAAUUCGAUUGUGUUGUUUAAGAUUAAUUUCAAGUAAUAUUGUUUCCCUAAACAUGUGAUGAUUGUAUCAUAAGUGGACUCGGUAAGUAAUGCCCACCACAACCGUGAAGCUGCCUGCUAGGCUUGAUAAGUUCUGGUUGGUAGCAUUCUUGCAAGCCUUGUGCCAUUUUGAAAUAGGUCAGCUAGAUCAAAGUAAGACGCAAGCAUGAGAAAAUUCCGACAGUCGGAUCUCAAAUCUCAACAUUUUGUGUAAGUAGUGCCGAUUUAUUUGUGACAAGAAUUGAAUAAGAGAAGUAUCUUUCUUUCUUUUUUUCUUGAAAAAUUUGUUUUGAUUUAUCAGUUGCAACAAUUGAUUAAGAGAGAAGAUUGCUAGUUUGCUGCAAAGAUAGGACAUGCAAUCCCAUUGCUAUCAGUCCAAGGGUCGAGAUUGUAACAAACUAACCAUUUAAUUAUUCCUUCGUGUCACAAAAGAAAAUAGCAUAUCUCCGAACCUCCACAGAUUUUUUGAAAUAUCUGUUGAGUUCCAUUCAGGCACCGAGAGAAAAUCGUUGCAUCUCAAGGCCUUUUAUUUAUUUAUUUAUUUUGUUCGCGUGGUCUUAACAUGUUGCGCUUAAUGGUUAGUUGUUUGAAGCAACAAUCUGUAUUCCAUGGCUCUAAGAGCUGGUGCUCUCUUGGUUAAGGAGGCCUCUACUACAAUUAUUGGCUAGAUCCUGAGACAGACAAUGGAGGGGUGUACGCAUCUCCUACUUCAGGACAUAUAGAGUUCAGCAAGAGGAUGCAUCUUCUUUGGAGUGAGAUACAUCUACCAGAAGGCGAAUGGGCAGCAGAUUGGAUGGUCUCCUUUGUGACUGACCACUCCGAUGGGAUGCUCCGGAUCAAUGUGAUGUUUUCUCCGAGGGCUUUUUGAGACAUGUUGCUUUCUAACUCUGUUGGAUGUAUUCACACAAAAGUUGCGUGGAACGUCCCUCUUAGGAAAAAAAUAUACUGGAAUCCAGAGGUCUAUCUUUCUUUUUAUUUCUUUCUUUUCAUUUUUUUAUUUAGAUUAGGAGGAGCUAAUGCCCACCCUUUAUGUCCAUCGGACGCUCUGCUGCCCUGUUCCCUUGCCCAAAUAGUAAGGGAUGAUACCGUCCGAGCAAAGGCUUGGUAGUUCCAUGGUUCUACCGUUUGAAGCUAUGCGAUUCAGUUGGACUGACUCAAUUGGCUUAGAGGCCUACCUUCGCCUUACGCCUUGGCUACAAAAUGAUUCAGGCCAACGUUUUUUUUCGGCCCUUUUGAGUAGGCUGCAUUUAGCCCAAACAAAGCCAAACAAAUUUCGUGCGGAAGCCUGGCCCACCUCCUUUAGGCCCAUCCCCUAACGCUAAGGGGUUUGGACUGUUCCGAUCUCUAUAUCAUAUUGCUAGAUCUUAAAACAUGCACGCGAACGGCUGUGGUUAAAUUUUUUUUCUUAUUUUGUUGUAAAAAUACAGAUUUCUUUUUCUCUGUUCUUUUUAAUCCUUGUGCCUAGGAAAUACUGCGGGACUACAUAACAUCACGUUUGGACCCAAGAGGAGACCAACAUCACGUAUGGACUACACAAGUACUAAAUGGGCUUAGUUUAAGCAAACCAGACUAUCAAAUGUUUGAUCACAACUUCUCAUGACAGAUCAGUUUAAGCUAAUGAGUUCCACAAAUCAUCAUUACGUAGUCAAAUAAGCAUGCACGGUGCAUGCAGGGCCAGAGAGAUUUCUUGAUAGAAAAAAGAAUAAGAAAACUCGGAAAGAAAGGGAAAAAAAGUGGGGGGGUGGAAAGAAUGGGAAGAAAUAAGAAUGGAAGGAGUCUAAAAGACCUUGGCAACAUCCUUCAUGAGACCAGGAUUGGCACGGCAGAAGGCGGAGAACUCGCUGAAGUCGAUGUAGCCAUCGCCAUCGGUAUCGAGCUCGGCCAUCAUGCGGUGGAUCUCAUCGGUGGAGGUGGAGCCAAGGGUGCGGAGGGCCUCCCCGAGCUCGGCUGAUGAGAUCUUCCCGUCGCCAUUGGCAUCGAAGCGCUUGAACAUCCUCUCCAUCUCUGGUGUCACUUCUCCCAUCUUUCUUAGCCUCAGCAGUGUACUGGGAGUAACUUCUUCUUCUUCCUUCUUUCUAUCUCUAGGUGUGUCCGGAGCCUCGGGGAAGAGGGGUGGUGAGAGAGAAGAGAGAGAGGAGGUGGCAAGGAGGGCAGGUAAUCGAAGGCAGGGAAUGUAGGAGAAAUAGUUGGAUCUCCCUUUUGACGCGGGUUUUCGUUCUGAACAAUAGAAUUCUCCCCUGUUUUAUUCUAUCUUUUUUUUAAUAUAUUUUAUUACUGCCAAUAUCACGACCAUCUCGAUAUCGAAUUUCAUACCAAUGCCACUCUAUCAUUGUAUUGGUACAUCCGAUACGGCAUCGGUUUAGUAUACUAAAUAUUAGUAUGCCUCAUACCGUAUAUUAGUAUCGAACCGAUACAGUAUGAUACGUCUCUUAUUUAGUAUCUUUUAUAUGCUGCUAAUAAGGCUACCCAAUGUGUUUCAAGAUCUAUUUUGGAUAAACUAUAGAUUUCGAUUGGAUUUAUAAAAGAUAGGCUUGCAAAUAGUUUGUUUAACACCUGGCCUGAUUUAGAGAGAGACAUGCCCUGAUUUUUUUCUUUUGGGUCAUGAGUUUAGAUCUAUUUGGUUGACCAGAUUAAUUUGGAAUGGAACAUACUUUAGAGCCAUCAAAUCAUUCAAGUCGAGACAGGUCAAGCAUGAUCCAAAUCUAAACUAAUGGAAUUGGAUCUAAGUUCAUGUGGAAUAAAAAUAUACUAGGGCUCUAUUUCUAGAAGGAAAAAUGACGAUAAGGUGGAUGACAAGUUUGAGAGAAUCAAAAGAGGUUAUCUACAUGUAAUGCUAUUAAUACUGAUUCAACCUUCGUUGUGCUAUAACUAAUUCAACAACCUCGAUUUCGAUAUGCAGAUCCAAAGUGGGUGAAAAAGGGGUUAGGAAUUUCAAAGUCAUGAGAUUUUGGAUUGAGUUGGAUCAGACCAAAUCAGAUUUGAUCUAAUGUUUGAUCCAUGUUAGACCCGAGCGAAGCCCAAGUUGGAUCAAAUAUGCCAAACCCUAGCCAGUUUGCCAAAUGGACCGUUCUUUAGGACCACCCACAGAUCCAAGGAAUCAGAUCAAAGAGAUAAUAUUUCAGACCCAACAACAGAUCCAAGAGAUCAGAUCAGGCUACAACUAAAUAAGUUGGGUACGAGUUAAUCCAAAACCCAUUUGCAGCACUAGCGAAUGGUCUUUUAGCACCAUGCUCCUAGAGCCCUCGUCUAUGGCUAACUACGCUGGUCAUCCCUGGUGGGACAGAAAGCUGGCCAAAGGCAAGAUGAUUAAGAAGCACAAGCUUGGCUUGUUAAAUUGUUGUGUAACGGAUAUUCGAACUAAAGCAGAAUUUAACUAGAGAUGCUCAAUUUUAGCUUAUUUCUCAGUGCAAAUGCUUGAACGAGCCUAUGGGUGCCAAAUCCAGUUUCUAUUUAUCAUGCAAGCCCAAGUAUUGGCUAGCCUAUGAAUCAUGCUCGAGGCUUUCAAUUGAACAAGCUCUAUAGCUAAAUCACCAAAGCCCUGUCUCAAAAUUAUGGUGACAUAAUCCUAAUUUCUGAUUGGGAUCGACAAAUGAAACAUACAAACAGUUCGGUACAUCGAAUGGGGAGUAACAUUUUGCUUCCUGUUUUCAAUGGUAGAGGAAUUCUGGGCCCCCGAAAUAUGCUUUGAUUCCAUUCAAGAGCUUUGUCUACAAUACUAAUAAUAUGUUACUCAUAAAAUUUACAGAAUUCAUUCAGCUCAUAUAGCAGGCUAACCAGACUUUUCCAAGUGAACACUUACAAGCAAUACUGAACAAGGUCCUUGUACCAUAAUUCAAUGAGACAAAGUAAUGGAAUGUAUCUAAUGGUGCUUUCCUUCACUGUUAAGAGGAUAUCUAAUACUUAUUUUGUAUAGCCACCCAAAUUAAAGGUAACUCCUUCUGAUAACGCGAACAAGAGCUGCCUGCUGGUGUUGAUAGGCCUAUAAAGAAUCGCAACUGCAACCAUCAAACUGCUGGGUAGAUAUUCCUCUUCUAAUCAUAAAGCCCUUCUUCAUACCAGAUAUCUACCAAAAAGUCUACCAUUUCCUGCAUAGUUAUAGUUGCUCAAAGUGUUAUUUUUAAUUAUGCAUACAGUCAAAAAGGAUAAAGAUCCAACAAGAAGGCACCUCAAAAUUCAAAAUGGAAAAGCUAUAUAAAUAUUAAAUACAGGUGCCAUAACUUACAGAUAAUGGGAUUGGCUGAGGAAAAGGUUGACCAACUGACAGUAAGUCAUCAUAUGUAGUGCACCAGCUAGAAGGGAAAUAAAGUUCGCAAUGAAUUAGACGAUAAAGGAAUUAAAUAAAUGAUAACAGAUAAGAUCUUGCUUAGGAUCACUGCAAAGAACUUAUGCAUGAAUCUUGUAACACAAUACUAACCACCAACAAGCUUUUUCCCAACUAUCUUAACACCUUUCAACACCUAUAUAGAAAUGUAAGAAAAUAGGAACAGAAAACAUCUUUUUGCAGGAAAAUGAGGACUCAUGGCAUUUUUUUUAUGAGGUCACUUUCAUUAUUUUAAAAUUUCUUGUACUGUCUAGCCAGGAUAAGGACAAAAUACAGAACAGAACCAUGCAGCACUGCAGACACAACAUUGCUUGCUGCUGACUGGCAGGAACAACCAGCAACCACAGCCUCCCCCACCUUUCCAAGGAAAAGGCACUCUGUGGGUCCAAAUAAACACACCAUGUAGCAUACUCAAAUACCCAUCAUAUCAUCUACAGCAAAGAAGUUAGGACUGACUGAAAGGUUUUCCAUUUCAUCUUUACGGAACUCAAUCACUUAACAAAAUUAUGAAAUAUUUUUGAGUAAAUCAACCCAAAGCACGAGGUUAUCGCCAUUAUGGAGUCUAGGGAGGGUCACAUGUACGCAGCUUACCCCCGCAUGCGGAGAGGCCAUUUCCGUGUCUUGAACACAUGAUCUCUAGAUCACAGUGGAGCAACAUUACCAUCGCGCCAAGGCUCACCCUCUAUUGAUAAUGCUAGAUAUAAAUAUUUACAUCAAAAAGUAGUGCUUUUUAUAAAACAAGAAUUCUCCUCCAUUAUAAGACAUAAAGAUGAUAAUGCAGCAUAAGAUGAUAUAAAGAUGCCCACAUAAGGUCAUAAAUUAGGCCAGGUUAGAGAGUUCGAUCAACAAACAGAAAGCAGGUGGGAAGAAAAUAGGAGUGCUUCUAUUAUUACAAAAAAAUUGAAGCAGAAAAGCUUGCAUUGUUGGAUCAACUGAAUGAAUUAGAUUACCAUUCGAGAAAAAAAUGCCUUCGUAGUUAUUGAAACAAUAGAGUACAAACAUGAAAGAGUCAAAUAAGAUAUCUUACCUUAUUAUAGGUUCUCUUGAUCUUCUAUGGGAUCCAUUUGACCGAUCACCAACCCAUUCUCUUCUCAUCUCAUUCCAAGCUAUAGCAGCUGCACAACAUAAUAAGCAAAUUCCCACAGCAUUUAGCACAAAAGGGAUUUUGUAUUUUUAAACCAAAUUACAGCAAAAAAAUAGAAAUAAAUUACAAAUGGCCAAUAAAGUUAAACUUUCUCCCAAGGUAGAGAUUCUGAAGAUGGUGUAAGACCCAAGAAAGAAGAUUAUGUCUGCUAAACUCAUGGCUGCUACUCAAUUUACAUUAAUUCCAACCCCCCCCCCCCCACCACCACCACCACCACCAUUUUUUGUAAUCGCUAUUCACAAAAGUAAUAGAAAAUUUUAAUUGGAAUUGCAAAUGAAGUUUUCAGGAAAAUUGAAGUCUUACUAAUUCUUCAUAUUCUAUAUAUAACCAAUGCAAAAUCUGGUACUCUGAUUCCUGCUUAGGUUUCAACACUCAAAUAUUAUGUAUGGAUGCAAGCUUAUUUUUUGUUUCCAAUCUAAAUUUGUGUGCAUGUGUUCAUUUCCCCCCUUCAUCCGCAUGGGUUUAAGCAAUCCCGGAGGGGAAACCAGCGUUUUUUGCAAAUAUAAGUUUAAAGGGUUACUAAACCAUGGUCAAGCCAAUCUGUCAUGGAUAAAGGUGAAAGAUGUGAGUAGAAAAGACUCAGUUGAGCAGCUAUAUGGUCUUCGUUUCCCUAUUCUUUAUAAAACCUUAAGAGAGAUUCUGUAAACAAGAACAGCCAAUUAAAUGUUCAUGUUAAAAAGCAACAUUAAAAGAGGUGGCUAUUCCAUGUCAGUAUUACACUGUAAUACGAGAUAAAGUAAAAUCUAGAAGAAAGUGGGAUUAUAAAUCAGUAGACAGAUCCAACAAGAUGAAAUGGCAUUCCUUUAUACUAGGACGCAUUGGAAUUUAUAUUAUUGUGGUGUGUAGAACAAAGCAAUGACGCCUUAGAGUUACAUGUAAUGAAUCAUAAUUUACUCAAAAUCUAGUAUUACAUUCCAGUAAAUACUGACCUUGGUUGAUAAAUGAAGAGUCAUUUCCAUUUUCCUGCAAAAACUUGUUUUCUUCGCCAACAGAAGGGGCACCUGAAGACAGGUAUGUUUCAGGGGUGUGAAAAUUGCUGUUAUUGCUUUCCAUUUUGUCUGGAGUAGAUAACCAUGGCCUUUCUCUACAGAUUGAUAAGUGGCCUAUGUUCCAAUCUUGGUGGGCGUUCAAUGAUCUGUCCGUUGAUUCACUUUUGGCUAGUCCUCCCAAACAACACCUGCUCUGUAGAAAGAUUGACAAAAUUGAGCUGGUGCACUUUGUACAAUGAGUACAUACCACUAAACUUUUAUUUCAAGUAAUAUGAAACAAGAGGGUGUGCACAAACAAAUAAACAUAAACACAAGAUAAGUGCAUUAAGAAUAAUAAUGAUAACAACAAUAAUAAAAUAACUAAAAAACUUUCGACAAGAAGCACCUACCCCAUAUAAGCUAAGAGAAAGUGUCUACUGUUGGACUAUCCAUCUAAUAUCACCGAGUACAGUCUGAAUGACAAGUCACGUAGGACUAUGGAAUGGACUUCUCACUUCCAAUUAGUACGAAAGUCCCGAUCUCACCCUCCUGUUCACCAAUGUCAGCAUCAAAGUCCCAAACUUUGUGCAAAUUUUCAGACAUGCAGACUAUGGGACACGAAUCUUCCAUAAGAAAACCAAGCAACAACUAAUAAUUUAGAAAGUAACAUUUAUAACUCCAAUGCAAAUGACUGCUAAAUCUCUGAUUAGUGACUAUUUAUUUAAGUACUAUAUCUUAAAAUGCUUUUGAACUUUUAUCACAUUUUUGGGAAAGUAAAUAUAAUGACAUAUAGCUUGCAGAGGCAUCAUAGAGAAGAAGGAACAGAAAUAACAAAAGAAAACAAUUCACAACUACUAAUUCAAAAUAGCAAGUAUUAUCCACAACGGAAAACUAAAUCAAUUUAGAAAAAAGAAAAGAAAGAAAAGAAAAAAGCACCUAUACAGAGUGGACUGAGCCCGAACUACAGGUCAAUGGUAUUAUUUUUAGCAUAUAAUAAGAUGAUAGGCACCAACAAACUUUUUUUGUGGGUUCAUAACUUCUUAAGCAAAGGAUUACUAAUACAUCCAUGAGGGACUAGAAAGGGCAACUUGACACAAUAAAAGGUGGAUGCCAUAGGAUGCAACCUAUAAGUGGUAACUUAUCAUAAAAACUUAAAGGAAGAGGUUACAAAACAGUCAAUAAACCAGUUUUACCACAUAAAAACAACGGACAGCAAACUUGACCCAUGAGCAUAAUAUGAUCGUUGCAUGCAUAAGGAUGCUAAGGUGAAAUCCUGCUAGAACUUAGAACAGAAAUCAAAAGUAAUAGCUUAUAAGAAGGUUAGGAGCGGUACCGAUAAGAGCAUAGAAGGAACCAUUUGGGGCACUUUGGCCACAUGCAGCAUAACUCAGAGACUGCCCAGGGGUUUACAUUAAUUUAGAAGAUCAAAAACUAUUGAAAGAUCAAACACAGAAAUGCCAAAAUCAACGUAGAUGGAGGAAGUGGAGAAAUGAGUUUAUGACAUUUUGCUGCUUGCGUCUUGGACUUGGAUUAGAGUCAUUUCAGAAGUAUGAUACGCAAAAACAACCUCAAAUACAUAGCAAAAGGCUCUAAUUUAUGUUUAGGUAUCAACAUGUACAUCAGCAUGUUUAAUCUGUACUUUACAUUUAUGUAUCAAGGAUAGCAUUAUGUCAGAUAGCCUGUAGCUUCAUUACGUAGCAAGGAUGAAGUAGGUUUACGGUGAGGGGGUUUACAUUAAUUCAGAAGUUCAAAAACUAUUGAAAGAUCAAACACAGAAGUGCCAAAAUCAACAUAGAUGAAGUGGAGAAAUGAGUUUAUGUACAUUUUGCCGUUUGCGUCUUGGACUUUGAUUAGAGUCAUUUCAGAAGUAUGAUACACAAAAACAACCUCAUAUAGAUGGAAAAAGGCUCUAAUUUAUGUUUAUGUAUCAACAUUUACAUCAGCAUGUUUAACCUGUACUUUACAUUUAUGAAUCAAGGAUAGCAUUAUGUCGGAUAGCCUGUACUUUCAUUAUGUAGCAAGGAUGAAUUAGGUAAUUUAACCUCAGAUGGGCUCCCUGGCAGUUGCUAGAUUGAAACUUUGUUUAUCAGUCUCUACUUAAAAACAUUAUUUUCCUUUCAUUGUGUUGUAUUCAGUUGCAGUAGGCAUUUUAUGCUCACAUCCUUACAUCUUGCCUAAGUUCACAAAUAAAAACAUUUAGAGCCUGUUUGGAUGCUUGCACAGGCUAUUCAAUGAAUAUUCCUUGUAUAGUUGGUGCUCAAAAGAUGUUAGGAUGGGAAGAGAGAAACUUCUCUAAAUAGAGAGAUCUUAUGAUCAUAGAAUUCCUAAAGGAUCUGGCUAUGGUAAAUCACCUUUUAGAUGGAACAAGUAAUCCUUAUUUUUUAAGGAUUGUGCACUCAGAAGAGUUUUCGAUCCCAAUAAUUCUUCCUCGCCGGUGUCUAUCUCCUUCUCAUACGAAAUUCUGAUCCAAAGCAUUUGUUAUUUGGGCAUCCAUAACACCCCCCGC